AGGGCAAGUCUGGUGCCAGCAGCCGCGGCAAUUCCAGCUCCAAUAGCGUAUAUUAAAGUUGUUGCAGUUAAAAAGCUCGUAGUUGAAUUUCGGGGUUCUACCGUUGGUCGGGCUUUGUCUGUACUGGCGUGUAGAAUUUCUACCUUCUGGGGAACCAUUAUGUUAUUAAUUUAGCGUAGUGGGAAACCAGGACCUUUACCUUGAAAAAAUUAGAGUGUUCAAAGCAGGCUUAUGUCUGAAUACAUUAGCAUGGAAUAAUAGAAUAGGACGGUGGUCCUGUUUUGUUGGUUUCUGAAUCACCGUAAUGAUUAAUAGGGAUAGUUGGGGGCAUUAGUAUUCAAUUGUCAGAGGUGAAAUUCUUGGAUUUAUUGAAGACUAACUUCUGCGAAAGCAUUUGCCAAGGAUGUUUUCAUUAAUCAAGAACGAAAGUUAGGGGAUCGAAGACGAUCAGAUACCGUCGUAGUCUUAACCAUAAACUAUGCCGACUAGGGAUCGGACGAUGUUAAUUUUUCUUGACUCGUUCGGCGCCUUACGGGAA
rnacentral:rRNA from 1 species